rnacentral:lncRNA from 1 species
AUUAAAGACAGAGCAUUUUUCUCAAGGACAAGAGCUAGCCAUUAAAGCCAACUUUAUUUAUUGUUAAUUAUAUUUUUGAGAGUAUUGGAGUUUAAUAAAUCAAAUUCUUUAGUUGUAACUACAUUGCUUUUUCCUAUCUGGUGCAUGCCACUACCACAACAGGAGGUCCACUACCAAUUCCCACAUUACAAUCAACAAAAUCAAUUAUAUGUUCAAACUUGUUUUUGAUUUUUAAUAGAAUCAAAACAGCAGAAAAUACAUCUCAGUUGAUUCCAAGUUUAACUAGGGAUCCAGGAACAUAAGAAAGUAGCUCAGAAUAGCAUUUUCUAAGAAAUUUGACCACUGCCAUGAUUAAAUUUAUUAAGGAGUUCAAGGAUUCAAUAUUUUUUCUCAUAUAUUUUCCUCUAGCUUCUCGGCAUCAAGACAGAUUACAGUGGACCCGCAUUUUUCACGUGCGUUCCCACUCGAUCGGCGAGACUCGCUUUUUAUUUAUUUGUGAAAAUUUUGAUUUUUGGAAAAAAAAGUUAGAGUCGCCACUUAUUUUAUUUUAUUUUUAAAAGGGAAAAUAAAACAAGAAAUAAAACCCUAAAAAAAUGACUCCAUAAUUUUUGGAAAAGCGUGUCUUUGAAAAACCCGAGUCUAAGUCCGGGGAUCAGGUUACUUAUUAGGAAGGUACCUCUAGGAGGUAGCACCCCUCUAAGCCCUAUAAAGGUCUCUACUAACAAAGUUAAGGGAAGUAUGGCCAUUAAUCAGUUAAUUAUGGAUACCUAAGUAGGCUAGGUGAUUUCAAAUAUUGCAUGCCUAAAGAGAAAACAAACCAUAAGAGAGAGUCGAAGUGCGUACCUGAAUGGCUUCUCAAGCGCUAUCAUGAAACAUAAGAGAUUAGUUUGGAAAUAUGACACAACAUUUGUUUUAUCUAAGCAAAUCAAGCAUAUAUCAAAACACCCAAAAAUCACAUCAUGUAUGGAUAUAGUCAUCAAUAACACAUGUGUCCAUGGAAUUCUCAAAAAUAGGCGUGAAGGAGCGUACCUGGAUAGCAAGCUAAAACGCCACUAUGGGAAACAAGAUUGCUUAAUAAUAGGUGCAUAAUAAUCUCACGUAUCUCAAAGAGAAGGCACAAUUAAUCAAAUGUCAAACAAACACUAUUGAAGAGGAUAUCAUGAAUGUCGGGCCCCCACCAAAGCCCUAAUUAAUUUUGCAUGAGUUGGUUCUAUGAAUUCCAUUGUUUGGAAUCAUGAAGUUUGUUCAUGCUUGUUGAAAAUUGAGAAAAUCAUGAAAAUAGUUGAAAAUAAAAGAAAAUAGUGAAAAUGCAUGCCUAGAGGAGAGUGGCAGUAAGGAGUUUAUUUAAAUCUGGAUUUUAUGCCUAGGAAGGAUCUAAAUAUGGAUUUUUAAAAAUGGAAUUAUUCAGUUGGAAAUGGAUUUGAAAAAUCAAUUCAAAACUGUAAAUUUUCAAUCCAAGAAACAAAAAGAGGAAGAUGAAGAGGUGUGCACUAAGGUGGCCUUUGCUGGAGUAGGACUUGGGGGUCUGGCUGUGACUGCGUUGCUGGUGGUCGUGUGAAGAGACCUCUGUAUAUUGAUGGCAUGACUAGAAAAGAACUGACCGUAUUCAUUCCAGAGCCCAAACUCAUUGGGUUUGAGUGUAUAAUUUUAUCAGCAAAGACAUUCCAACCCAACUCUGGCUUCCUAGAAUCACAACUUGCAUUGCUAGUAGGAACUUGUGGUGAAGCAAUUGAAAUCUAGCUCCAGAUCUGAUUCCCUUGCUGCCACUCAUUCUCAAGUUUCAAGUCUUUGCUCAGAAGUCCAUCUGAUUUAUCAAUUUUCUCACAGUUCACUUCUGGAAUUUUAUGUAGCUUAGAUUCUGUGUCUUCUUGCUCAUCCUGAGCUUCAUUUCUUACCUCUUCGGUUAUCCUAACCAAUCAUCUAAAGCUUGCAUGCGGGAGCUCACUGAUUGAUGCUCACUUAGCCCACCUCCAUCAUUUUAAGAUGUGACUGUGGCAAUGGCAAUAGUUCUGAUCCGGGAUGCUGCUUUGCUCAAAGAGGGCUCUCAGCUCUGUCUAGUGUCAUUGAUGAUGGGCUAUCUCACCUCCAGUAUUAGGGAUUGGAGAGCCUCUUCAAAUAUCCCAGCAUCUAGGUGGCCCAUUAAUUUUCCAUAGCCAGCUAGAGGACUAUAAACCCGUAAAUGCCCAGCUUCAUCUUUCCACCUUGCUUUGAAUUCCCAUCAUCAGCCUCCAAGAGUGAAACAGGGGCCUUGUCCAGUAGAAAUGCCAUCAAUGAAGUCAACAAUUCUGUCUUCUUGGCAUUCUUAACGUGAGCAAUCUGUAGUAGAUUCUUCUCACAUCUUCCAAAACAUCUUUGCUGUCAUUCCCAAAUUCCGUUGGCAGUAAAGCAGAAUGAAUGCUAAGUGAACUCCCUUGAAGCCACAGUACCGUAUAAAGCAAUAGGUAAUCCUUUGGAAGACUGGACAAUCUUAGGUUGUGGCAAAAGCUUCAGUAGAGUUUCGAUCCCUAACUUUCAUGCAGAUAAUUGGUGAGCUUCUGAAUUUUCCAUUAUUCUGUGGACUAGAGCCAUCACACGAAAGAUGCAAAGUUGGAUGAACCACUCAUUACUGGCACCUGCUGUAGCCGAAAUUGUCGAACUGGCCAGACAGCAAUGGCCAUCAGACAACCCGGGCAACUUUUCCUACAACCUUUCUUGUCAUGAGCAGAAAUGUUCAGUGGCUCACAUCAAUUUUCAAUGGCUUUCAUGUCAGAAGAACUUGUGUUUUUAGGCUCUAUCUUGAACAAAAUAUCACAAACAACUCCCUAUGUCCAAAGUCACCGGAAACUGAAAUCUCGACGAGUAGUGCGCUUUGAACCUUUUGGCAUUUGUUUUAAUUUGCACUUUGGGUACGAGUUCUGCUGAACCACACAUAAAUGACACUUUGGACAAGCCUGCUGCUUGUAGUGGAAGGCGUGCUCUUCUCUCUUGAGUGGUAUACUUAUCAUCCAGCUCCCAUAGCCCAAAUGCAUGCAUGAGGGCCUUCACCUCAGGUACAGAUGAAUUUAUGGGAAUUUAAUACCAACACAUGGGACUUCACUGAUCUACAGCAGCUGACAACUUACCCUGCUGAUGCUAGAAUUGGCUUGGAAUUACUGAUUCAUCGAUACUAAUCUCUUUGCAAGUGGUGUCGAUAGGCAAUUCAAAAAAUUUCAAAAUUAGAUGGCUGGGGAACUUUCUUUGUUUGGACAUGAGUGCUAUGGACUGUUACAGUAGUCAGAACUUCUUGAUGACACACCCCAGCUUGUUCUUGAUUUUAGUCACGUGGAUGGCAUUACAUCCAGGAACUUCACCAGAAUUGGUCGAGCUUUCCUGAGAACAAAAAAGAAUCUGUGUUGUACCCAAUUUCAGUAACCAGUUUACCCCUUGCUCCCGUUUUCUUCCCAGCAGUCCAAGUCUCUUGAAAGUCUAUUUGCUGGCGUAUAGAUGCAGGCUGGUAGCUAAGAGACUAAAAAUGCCUCAUGUGAUGUCCAUUGUCCUGAAUGCAUGAGGGUGAAGAAACGAAACAUCUUUUAGUUCCUUUUCUCAUCAGUUUCUGUAAUCAACAAAUCAGCCAAAACAUUCUUAAUUCUCUCCUGAGCAUCACUUUCAGUUCUGCAAUAUGUCUUGCUCUCUUUUAUUGGUAGAAAUUCUGAAAUGGUCAGAGCCAUUCAAAGAGUCUGAUAUCUGUCAAAGUAUGUUGAGCUAACAGUCCUGGAAACAAGCCAAUUCCCUCCCCCUUCUCUUACUCUGCUUCUGCCACAAAUCAGUCGUAAACAAAGUCUGUUUGGUUUCAUAGAGUACUAAUAACCAGUGUGUCUAGGUGAUGCUGGAUGCUUUUUAUAGACCAGGGUAUCGUAUAGAGCAAUAGGCACCAUUCCGGAAAACUGGGCAAAAUUAGGCCCAAGUAAUAGCUUGAGUAGAAUUUCAGUCCCUGAUUUUUCCGCAAAUAAUCAACAAGUUUCAUGACAUUCUAAUAUUCUGUUAACUAGAGUAGUCACAUGAAAGAUGCAAAGUUGGACGAGCUGUUUAUUAUUGAUGUUUACUGCAACUGAACUUAUCAAAGCACUACAGCAAAGGCCAUCCUCUUUUCCCCCACUUCAAGCUGCAUAGCUAUCCUAUUUGCGAUAUCAAGUCCGAAUUCUUCACCAGUUUGCAUUCUCAUAAGAAGUGUUGACUAGUAUAGAACCUGCUCAGCUAUGGAAUCUUCUGGAGAAUGACCUAGGCUCUGCACAAGCCGAGAGAAUUUCAAUAACACAAGCAUAAUAUCACAAAGAGCGACAGAACUUCUGAUUCCCUAGCAUCAGGUACAUUCCUUGUGUAGUCACCAAGAACAAGAUCCAUCAUUAGAGAAACAAGUUGCUUCCCAAUUUGUGACUGAUCUUCAGCCUUGUUCAUAAAUAUCUCAAUGAGCUUGUGAGUCUCUCCCUUAACUAACGGCAAAAGCUUUAUGUAGGACGUUUUAGAGGCAAAGGGCCUUCCUUCAGCAAUGAUAUUUGAUAUAAGCUCACUGUACAUUCUGCAUACGUUAAGCAUGUCCAAAAAUAUCAGCGUAAUUUGUGAUAAGAAAUAUGUUCCAAGUGAAGUGACAACACUUGCAUUUGUUUGCAAUAUAUUAAGCAUAGUCUGGAUCACAUCUUGAUCCUUCAGGAAAUCAACACUUUGGCGUGCCUGUACAACAAUUUCAGCCCAUUUCUGAUUUGAGAGUUCCAUCAACUUCUGUAGACACUCAUCCUUCUUCUGGGGAUUAGAUUCUACUUGGAUCAUAUGACCAACAGAUCUAUAAAAAGUAUGGAUCUGGUAAGGCUCAAGAUCUGCAAUGGUUAAUGGAAGGCUUGAUAGUAAUUCGGAUACAAAUGGUUCAUUCUCACCAACCUUGAAGCUCCUCAUAUUUCCUUUUCAAAUCAUCACUUGGAUUUGAGCUUGCCUACACAUCAUCUUUCCAGGCAUCCAUAACCACAAAUCCAGCAUCAGAGUAUGGCUCUCCCACUGAACUUUUCUGACCCCAAUCAGUCAUAGGCAAAGAGUUCCCGGUGACUGACCUUGCCAACCAAUCAAUGCAGUCUGGAAUAAGAAUGCUCUGGCAACUCUAGGUCUUCUAAGAUCUCUUCUGUUCUCUGAAGCAUAGAAUCUUUCAGAAGGAAUGAUUCUCUCAAUGCAGUUGUUGUGUUGCGAAUGAAAGCUCAGAUUCCAGGGCUUCCACACGCCCACCCACCUCUGAAUGAGUCUUCUGUUUCAUUUCAACCUCAUGUAGUCUGACAUAUUUAGACUGUAACUCCUGUGAGCAUCUCUCUAAUUCAUUGGACAUCUCUGCAAGGGACUGCUUGAGAGUCUCUCGCUGCACAAUCAGACCUUUCCCUUUGGCAACAGCAAUACUAAGCUUCUCUUUAACAGAAGAUACCCGCUGCUCAGACUACUAAAGUUCAGUUACCUUCUCCUGCAAUUCAGAACGAGCAGCAACAAGUGCCUCCUCUGCCUUUCUCAAGCUUUCCUUGAGAACAAGGAUUUUAUUUUUCUGUUGAAGAUUCAAUAAAUUUAACUCAUUUACAUUAUCCUGCAAGUCACUCACUUCAAUCACCUUGGAUCCAAACUUUUCUUGAGAAAAAGCUCAUCUGCUCAUCAACUCCGGACUGAGUUUGUUGCUUACUGACUCAAGUUGUGAUCUCU